rnacentral:rRNA from 1 species
UACGAAGGGGGCUAGCGUUGCUCGGAAUCACUGGGCGUAAAGCGCACGUAGGCGGAUUGUUAAGUCAGGGGUGAAAUCCUGGAGCUCAACUCCAGAACUGCCUUUGAUACUGGCGAUCUUGAGUCCGGGAGAGGUGAGUGGAACUGCGAGUGUAGAGGUGAAAUUCGUAGAUGUUCGCAAGAACACCAGUGGCGAAGGCGGCUCACUGGCCCGGUACUGACGCUGAGGUGCGAAAGCGUGGGGAGCAAACAGG